GGAGCCGCCUCACGGCUCGGUCUUGAAAACCGUCGUGGUGGCGACACCACCGUGGGUUCAAAUCCCACACCCUCCG
rnacentral:tRNA from 1 species